rnacentral:rRNA from 1 species
AUGUUAUUUAUGUUUUAUUCAGCUUUGAACCCAUCACUUAUUUCUGGGCUCCUAAACUCAAUUGAGCACCACAAUGGGACUAACUUUCCUACAUGGAAGGAGCAGAUUUCCUUUAACCUUGGGGUCAUGGAUCUUGACUACGCACUUAGGGAGAAGGCUCCAGUUCCCUUGUCCUCUGAUGAUGAAAACCUUGCUGAGAGAACUAAGAUUUAUGAGGCUAACAAGGAGAAGUGGGAGCGCUCCAAUCAAUUGUCCCUCAUGAUCAUGAAAAGCACAAUUACUCUUGGGAUUAGGGGAGCUAUCCCCGAUUCCGAAUGUGCUAAGACUUAUCUGGCAUCGGUGGAGGAACAGUUUAAAGGCUCCACAAAAGUCUAUGCCAGUACACUGAUCAUGAAAAUGCUCCCCACUAAGUAUGAUGGUGCAAGCGGUGUGAGAGAACAUAUCAUGACUAUGAACGAUAUGGCCGCAAAAUUAAAGGGCAUGGACAUGGAGAUUUCUGAGGACUUCUUGGUUCAUUUCAUUAUGACCUCCCUGGAAGAGAAAGUUUAA